rnacentral:tRNA from 2 species
GCCGAUUUAGCUCAGUUGGUAGAGCACCCGCCUUGUAAGCGGACGGUCGUCAGUUCGAUUCCGACAAUCCUCU